GCCCGGAUGGUGAAAUUGGUAGACACAAGGGACUUAAAAUCCCUCGGCGAAAGCCAUACCGGUUCGAUUCCGGUUCCGGGCACCA
rnacentral:tRNA from 1 species